CCAGCAGAUUGGCUGCUUUACAAUUGGUCUAAACAAGGAGUAGGCGGGACAAGGGGGCUCGUGCUUCCUCGUUUCCGAUCCAAGAUGGCUGCGUCCAUGGCGCGGCGCUUGUGGCCUUUGCUGGCUAGUCGGGGACUUAGGCUCCGGGGAGACUGCGUCUACGGGCAGAGCCCAGGGAUAAGUUCUGCUACAAAGAAACGAGACCGGAACCUCCUGUACGAGCACGCACGCGAAGGCUACAGUGCACUACCUCACCUGGACAUGGAGCUGCUGUGCGCAUGCCCAGAAGAGGUCGCGCGCGCUCUGGAGCUCCGCAAGGGGGAGCUGCGACCCGCGGAUCUGCCGGAGAUUAUCUCCACAUGGCAGGAGCUGAGGCAGCUGCAGGAGCAGAUCCGGAGCCUGGAGGCCGAGAAGGGCACUGUGGCGGAAGCUGUGCGGUCCCUGCUGGUGAACCAGGACCACAGUCAAGUUCAGCAGGACCCUCAGUAUAAGGCCCUGCGGGCGCGUGGCCGGGAGAUCCGGAAGCAGCUUGCGCUGCUGUACCCCAGGGAGGACCAGCUGGAGGAGCAGUUCUACCUGCGGGCGCUGAGGCUGCCUAACCAGACCCACCCGGACGUGCCCGCCGGGGAUGAGAGCCAGGCCCGCGUGCUGAAGGUGGUCGGAGAGAAGCCAGCUUUCUCCUUCGAACCUCUGGGCCACCUGAAAAUCGGCGAGAAACUUGACAUCAUCCGGCAGAAGCGCCUGUCACACGUGUCGGGCCACCGCUCCUAUUACCUGCGUGGCGCAGGGGCCCUCCUGCAGCAUGGCCUGGUCAGCUUCACCCUCAGCAAGCUCGUCGGCCGGGGCUUCACCCCCAUGACGGUGCCAGACCUGCUCCGUGGAGCUGUGUUUGAAGGCUGUGGGAUGACACCAAAUGCCAGCCGGUCCCAUGUGUACAGCAUCGACUCCUCCCGCUUUGAAGACCUCCACCUGGCUGGGACAGCAGAGGUGGGGCUAGCAGGCUAUUUCAUGGACCACAGUGUGGCCCUCAGGGACCUGCCAGUCAGGAUGGUCUGCUCCAGCACCUGCUACCGGGCGGAAACCGACACCGGGAGGGAGCCGUGGGGGCUCUAUCGGGUGCACCACUUCACCAAGGUGGAGAUGUUCGGGGUGACAGGCCCUGGGCUUGAGCAGAGCUCCCAGCUGCUGGAGGAGUUCCUGUCCCUGCAGGUGGAGAUCUUGACAGAGCUGGGUCUGCACUUCCGGGUCCUGGACAUGCCCACCCAGGAGCUGGGCCUUCCCGCCUACCGCAAGUUCGACAUUGAGGCCUGGAUGCCCGGCCGUGGCUGCUUUGGAGAGGUCACCAGCGCCUCCAACUGCACAGACUUCCAGAGCCGCCGCCUGCACAUCAUGUUCCACACUGAGGAUGGGCAGCUGCGCUUCGCCCACACGGUAAACGCCACAGCCUGUGCUGUGCCCCGUGUCCUCAUCGCCCUGCUGGAGAGCAAUCAGCAAAAGCUCCACGCCUGGGCACCAGGACCCCGCAGCCCACCCUCCUGCUUCCCUGUCCCUCAGUCAGCAGCCCUGCGGUCCUGGGAGCCACCCAGAGGGCUUGCGAGGAUGCCGACUCCCCACGCGUCUCCCAGCACAAGCCAGGCAGUCACCGCAGCAGUUCUGGCCCCAGACCUGUCCAGAUCUGUCCUCCACGUGCUUCCCACUCUGCACCCGGCUUGUUAGCAGCCCCAGCAGCUCCCUUCAGAACUUCCGGCAUCUUCUCUUGGGCCGCUCUGUGGGUCCCGUCUACUUGAUCCUUACUUGGGUGUCGCAGAAGCCUCAUCACGGUCUCCCUGCUCCUUGUGAGCACCUAAGACAGAGCAAGGCCUUCCCCUGCCUAGAGUUCCCCCUCAGCUCCGUCUCAGAGAAAAGGACAAGGCUGUCCUGAUCUCUGCAUCUGUCCUCUGUGAGUUCCCCACCAUCAUGUCUGCCUUCACUGCAUAAAAUGUAUUUAUGUGAACGUUGUCUCUCCCCUUCUCCAUAUCUGCUCCAUGAAGGCUGGGUGCUGGGCAGUUUGUACGCUACUUUAGCUCCACAGCCUAAGAAAAGAGUUGGCAUGUUAUAGGUGCUCAAUAAAAGUUUUCUUGAAUGGGGCUAAGGAUGUAGCUCAGUAGUAAAACACUUGCCUGCAUUCACGAGACUGCAUUCCAUCCCCAGCACUGGAGUGGCGUGGAUCUGUGCAGUUCCCAAGGUAGCGCACUGCCCUAAACACUGCACAUUUUGCUUCUGCCUCACACAAGCUGCAGUAGGGUCAUCAUCAACCCUUUUGAUAAAUGAGAGAAGCCAGGCAGCUGUCUCUGGGCUGUGCACUGCCCGAGUGCUGGAGCUCGGCACUCAGGCCAGAACCCCACUCCAGCCUCCGAGGAAGUACUUCCCAGAUGAGAAAGAGCACAGAAAGGAGCUGGGCACGAAUGAGCAAUGGCGGGUGUGCGUGGCUCGGAGCCCAGGUGGAGAGGGGGUGGCCGCAGCGUCGCUUCCUCCUCGGGGCCACCGCAGGGGUUAUAAAGCGCUGGCAGCAGCCAGAGUGGAGCACC